rnacentral:rRNA from 1 species
UACGGGGGGGGCAAGCGUUGUUCGGAAUUACUGGGCGUAAAGGGCUCGUAGGCGGCCAACUAAGUCAGACGUGAAAUCCCUCGGCUUAACCGGGGAACUGCAUCUGAUACUGGAUGGCUUGGAUUCGGGAGAGGGAUGCGGAAUUCCAGGUGUAGCGGUGAAAUGCGUAGAUAUCUGGAGGAACACCGGUGGCGAAGGCGGCAUCCUGGACCGAUAUUGACGCUGAGGAGCGAAAGCCAGGGGAGCAAACGGG